rnacentral:rRNA from 1 species
UGGCGGACGGGUGAGUAACGCGUGGGUAACCUGCCUUGCACUGGGGGAUAACACUUAGAAAUAGGUGCUAAUACCGCAUAAGCGCACGGUCCUGCAUGGGACAGUGUGAAAAACUCCGGUGGUGCAAGAUGGACCCGCGUCUGAUUAGCUGGUUGGCGGGGUAAAGGCCCACCAAGGCGACGAUCAGUAGCAGGCCUGAGAGGGUGGACGGCCACAUUGGGACUGAGACACGGCCCAAACUCCUACGGAAGGCAGCAG